rnacentral:rRNA from 1 species
UGAGGAAUAUUGGUCAAUGGGGGCAACCCUGAACCAGCCAAGUCGCGUGAAGGAUGAAGGUCUUAUGGAUUGUAAACUUCUUUUACACGGGAAUAAAGUGGGGGACGUGUCCCCCUUUGCAUGUACCGUGUGAAUAAGGAUCGGCUAACUCCGUGCCAGCAGCCGCGGUAAUACGGAGGAUCCGAGCGUUAUCCGGAUUUAUUGGGUUUAAAGGGUGCGCAGGCGGGAUGUUAAGUCGGCGGUGAAAUUUUGCAGCUCAACUGUAAAAGUGCCUUCGAUACUGGCUUCCUUGAGUGUAGAUGAAGUAGGCGGAAUUUGUGGUGUAGCGGUGAAAUGCUUAGAUAUCACGAGGAACUCCGAUUGCGCAGGCAGCUUACUAAACUACAACUGACGCUCAUGCACGAAGGCGUGGGGAUCAAACA